rnacentral:rRNA from 1 species
ACAGCAGCCGCCGCGGUAAUACGAAGGGUGCAAGCGUUACUCGGAAUUACUGGGCGUAAAGCGUGCGUAGGUGGUGGUUUAAGUCCGUUGUGAAAGCCCUGGGCUCAACCUGGGAAUUGCAGUGGAUACUGGGUCACUAGAGUGUGGUAGAGGAUAGUGGAAUUUCCGGUGUAGCAGUGAAAUGCGUAGAGAUCGGAAGGAACAUCUGUGGCGAAGGCGACUAUCUGGGCCAACACUGACACUGAGGCACGAAAGCGUGGGGAGCAAACAGGAUUAGAGACCCGCGUAGUCCCUGUCUCUUAUAC